CGCCACCCACACUCCGCUCCGCUGCCCGGCCUCCGGCGAGAUCCGUGCGUCCGUCCGGGAGCCAAGGGCUCCCUGGUUCAAAGGGCCGCAGCCCAGGGGAUGCCCUCCUCGUGUGUCCCGGGGUGCAGAAGCAGACUGCAGGGCGGUGGGACCAGCCUGGGCCACGCUCCAGCCUCCUCUAAUUGACCUGCUUGGCUGAUCAAUGACGGCACUGGAAGCAAACUGAACGGACAUGUUCAACCAUACAUGAGGGAUAACCUAGACAAAGAAGGUAAGAGAUGUCCAUCGUGACGCAAGAAAGAGAGGCAAGAAAGCAUGCACUCUGAUAACAAAUGUCAAGAACUUCAGAAACUUGGAAGAGAAGUUCCUUUUGCCAGGGACAACUGUCUGUAGGAAGAAAGCUACAUGGUAGAGGUGGUUUUGAGUCGAGACUCAGAAGUUGUGAGCGGAAGGGACAGACCAAAGACAAGGAUGCCAGAGAGAGUCCCGCUGCUGGGAGGCACAGAGCAAAGGCAGGAGCCAGCCAUCUUCUGUUUCCUCUGGGGGAUGGUCAAAAUCAUUGUUCCUUAGAUCCCUGGAAUGUGUGUAAAGAAACGACAACUUCCCACCCAGUUCUAAAUCACGGUGUGUCUUCUCUUCUCUCUGUCAUUUACGUGCAGGGGGUGGGGGGGAGAGAAUUAACAUGGUAGCCUAGAAGCUGAAGUUUCUAGUUGAGUCAAAUUUAGGCAGGAUCAGUUCAACUCUUUGUGUCCUGGACGUCGAUAGGCGGGAUUAAGGCAGGGAGAAGAACACACCAAACUAGAUGCAGUUGGAGAAGCAGCUGAGGAGGUUAGCACAGGAGGAGCAGUAUCCAAAAACAACAUUGCCAGAACGUACUGCAAACCGUACAGGUGCCAACUGUGUUGGUACCUUUGGCUUCCUCUUCAGAGCCUGGGCCUCCACCAGAACAGA